rnacentral:lncRNA from 12 species
UUUUCUUUUUUUUCUUUUCUUAUUUUCCUUAUGAUCUUUCUCUUUCUUAUGCAAUUAUGAGCCUACACAAUUUUCUACACAUUUUCUUGACUUGGAAGAAUGCAAUAAGAUGGCAGUAUAACAAAAUGGAGGAAUCCUGGCCGAGAUUCAGAUCAUGGAGAAGCCUCAUUCUGGACAUUAUCAGGGCAACUCAGGUUUCCCUGGGGCAUGCCAAGGAACAUCUCUUUACAAUGAGGUCAGCCCAGCAGCCACUGGAGAAAUCUUGAAAACAGGCUCUUGACCUCUAAUGCAUCCUUAAGACCACCAGCUCCAUCCCUGGAUCAUUAGCAGGCUUCACGCUGGCACCAAAGCUGUGUAAUCUGAGUUCAAUAACAUUAAGAAAAAAACCAACAUCCUGGGGAUGAUACCAGUGAUUAGGGCACUGUAAUUGCUAUAAUUAAAAGCAAAUCAAACACUGCAGCAAAAGUAGGUCAGUCAUCCGCUUGGUGCAAUCUUGAUGAGAGUGGAAAGCAAAAUUAAAAAAAAAAUUGCAGGGUAAACAAGUUUCUAUAAUGCUUGAGCAAGAAAUUGGUUGAGAUCCUGCAUGGAUGUGUCUCAGCACAGUGCUGGAUAUUAAAAGGUUAACCUCAUCAGUGCAGUGAUAGCUCAAACAAUAUGCCAGAACUGUGCCAUCUCAGAGAAUACAGGGUGUUUUAUUCCACUUCAUGUUCCAUGAUGUUUUUGUUUAAGUAGCAAACAUAUUGAUCCAAAAAAAAAAGCUCACUUUUCCUUGUGUGGGGACAAUUCUCUUUAAAUCCAGAGCAAGGAGAUAUGGUUUUUCUAUAAUUGUUUUAUCUGCUGAAGUCUUAUAUCCCUGGAAGCCUUAUAUUUCUCUUAUUUCCUCUGCAGUACUAUGUACAUUAUAGAUGGGCAUUGAAAUAUUGACUGCACACAUGCAAGCCUUAUACACAACAAAUAAAUCAUGGAAUCUGAAGCUGGGACCACCAGCGGGAACUGGAGAAAUGCGCUCUUAUUUAAGAGCACACUUCUGUGAUUUCUUCUUUAGGUGGACAAUUUUGUGCAAGGGUUACAUGCUAAGUGAACUUGACCAGGAUUCAGCCACUUUUCAGAAAGGACUGCAUUUCAUUCUCCUGCUCAGGAAAGAGGGUGGACAUGGUGUACAGUCCCCACAGCCAACCCACCCUCACAUUUUCCCAGUGCAGCUAUGGGUGACCUUUGUGAGCAAGUGGCACUACAGGAUCUAGCCUGUGCUGGAUCAGCAUCAGGUCUGUUCUGUUGCAAAUCUCACUGCACAUUCUCCUUCUCAUUUCUCUUAAAGGUCUAUGGAAACUCAUGUUCUAAUAGGAACAAAAAGUGCUUCAUUCACUUUUUCACACUUGGCCCGUCACAGGUGAAAAGCCAAGACUCUCUCCCAAGGACUCACCCAGGGCAGCAUACACAACAGGUUCCAGCAACCACAGAGUGAAUGAAAUUGCUUCUGCCCAGAAGCAAUUCUGUUGAAAUGAAAUUUCAACAAUUUCCGUGUUGCUAAGA